UCAGGAUCAUAAUUUUGAUUCUGUUGCAAAUGAGCAGCACCAACAAAACAAACCUGCUUGAAAGUAAGUCAAAGUCAAGAAUAGAAUCCGGACAAGUGCAUAUUUUGAACCACCAUUUUCCACAACUUUCUCCAAUCAAAAGGAGAGCCCAACCCGUCAAGUGGGAAUCUGCUGAAGUCGCCUUUCUUCUCGUGGUCUCAUCUCCUUCUGCACACGGAGGAGGUAAUAAAGGCCCCGUUUUAUUUCAUAAUUCAAAACCGAGGUCGUAAAGUAGUCAGUCGUUCGUCGGAUGAUAUGGGAUGCAAAGAUGAUGACACUACACAUCCAAUUCAUAGUUCAUAAAUAAAGGAUUUUAUUGUCAAGUCAAGUCGUCCACGCGAGAAAAGCAUGCAAGGCGAGCACUUCUUCCAACUUUUGAGUCUGACGUUUCUACUGACGGGGAGUCAAGCCUUCUGUGGCUUUUUAUCCGAAUUUCCUCUUGAUCUCUGAGUGAGUUUUAGACACAGGGCUAAAAAUAAGACAAAACUGGAUGAAUUCGGAUCCUUUUUCUGCCUUUCUUUCUCCCAGACCAAAUACGAGAUAAAUGGAAAGUUGAUAAAUAAUAGAGAACCGAAGAAACCCGAAAUACAAUACCUGGACUGUGCAGAACGGGGGGCAAUACAUUUUAUGAUAUAGUCCAACUACAUAAUAAAGUAUAAGGUUGGCUGCCUUGCUAACCCAUGGAAUGAACCGUUAAAAUUAAAUGAAGAAGUGGAUUUAGUUAUGAAAUGAAUAGAGAAAGCCUUCUUCUUGAAGAAAGGAGGGGGAAAAAGCGUGAGCUGAGCCGGGCUCAAAAUGCCACUUCAUUUCAUUCAGCUUAUGCCUUUUACACAGGGUUUUGCACCUUGAUCGUGGUGAAAUUGUGGUUUUUGCACAUAUUUGACACUUAUUGGACUAAUAAUUCAUGACCAAGUUU